rnacentral:rRNA from 1 species
CAAUAGCGUAUAUUAAAGUUGUUGCAGUUAAAAAGCUCGUAGUUGGAUCUCAGGGUGAGUUCCGUUGGUCGGCCUGAUUGGGUCAGAACUGGCGGACUCUCCCUUGUUUUUGGAUCCCGGUCGGGGUUCAUUCUUCGGCCGUGGAGUCCAGAUCGUUUACCUUGAAAAAAUUAGAGUGUUCAAAGCGGGCGUUUGCUUGAAUACAUUAGCAUGGAAUAAUAAGAUAGGACCUUGGUACUAUUUUGUUGGUUCGCGCACCGAGGUAAUGAUUAACAGGGACAGUUGGGGGUAUUCGUAUUCCAUUGUCAGAGGUGAAAUUCUUGGAUUUCUGGAAGACGAACUACUGCGAAAGCAUUUACCAAGGAUGUUUNCAUUA